rnacentral:rRNA from 1 species
CGACGGGUACAGUGUACUUCGGUGAUGCUGACGACCGGCGCACGGGUGAGNUACGCGUAUGGAACCUACCUGAAACAGGGGGAUAGAGUUGCGGAAACGGGGAUUAAUACCGCAUACGAUUCAUUUGUGGCCUCACAAAUGGAUAAAAGCUACGGCGGUUUCAGAUGGCCAUGCGUACCAUUAGUUAGUUGGUGAGGUAAAGGCUCACCAAGGCGAUGAUGGUUAGGGGUCCUGAGAGGGUAGUCCCCCACACUGGUACUGAGACACGGACCAGACUCCUACGGGAGGCGGCAGUGAGGAAUAUUGGUCAAUGGGCGCUAGCCUGAACCAGCCAUGCCGCGUGCAGGAAGACGGCCCUACGGGUUGUAAACUGCUUUUCUGCAGGAAGAAUAUAUAGUCUUAGGGGUAUAUUGACGGUACUGCAGGAAUAAGCAUCGGCUAACUCCGUGCCAGCAGCCGCGGUAAUACGGAGGAUGCAAGCGUUAUCCGGAUUCAUUGGGUUUAAAGGGUGCGCAGGCUGUAAGGCAAGUCAGUGGUGAAAGCCCUGGGCUUAACUCAGGGAUUGCCAUUGAAACUGUUUUACUAGAGUGUAGUAGAGGACGGCGGAAUGAGUUGUGUAGCGGUGAAAUGCAUAGAUAUAACUCAGAACACCUAUUGCGUAGGCAGCUGUCUAUACUACAACUGACGCUGAGGCACGAAAGCGUGGGGAGCGAACAGGAUUAGAUACCCUGGUAGUC